CCUACGGGUGGCAGCAGUGAGGAAUAUUGGUCAAUGGUCGGGAGACUGAACCAGCCAAGCCGCGUGCGGGAUGAAGGUACAGAGUAUUGUAAACCUCUUUUGUCAGGGAACAAACGCGGGGACGUGUCUCCGGCUGAGAGUAUCUGACGAAAAAGCAUCGGCUAACUCCGUGCCAGCAGCCGCGGUAAUACGGAGGAUGCGAGCGUUAUCCGGAUUUAUUGGGUUUAAAGGGUGCGCAGGCGGUUGGUUAAGUCAGCGGUGAAAGCCCGGGGCCCAACCCCGGCCCCGCCUUUGAUACUGGCAGGCUCGAGUUGGAGAGAAGUAGGCGGAAUGCGCGGUGUAGCGGUGAAAUGCAUAGAUAUCGCGCAGAACUCCGAUUGCGAAGGCAGCAUGCCGGCUCCACACUGACGCUGAGGCACGAAAGCGUGGGUAGCGAACAGGAUUAGAUACCCGUGUAGUC
rnacentral:rRNA from 1 species